rnacentral:rRNA from 1 species
UACGAAGGGGGCUAGCGUUGUUCGGAAUUACUGGGCGUAAAGGGCGCGUAGGCGGCUUGGUAAGUCGGGGGUGAAAGUCAGCGGCUCAACCGCUGGACUGCCUUCGAGACUGCCUGGCUUGAGCAUGGUAGAGGCUGGCGGAAUUCCCGGUGUAGCGGUGGAAUGCGUAGAGAUCGGGAAGAACAUCGGUGGCGAAGGCGGCCAGCUGGGCCAUUGCUGACGCUGAUGCGCGACAGCGUGGGGAGCAAACAGG